rnacentral:rRNA from 1 species
GACGAACGCUGGCGGCGUGCCUAAUACAUGCAAGUGGAACGCAUGAUUGAUACCGGAGCUUGCUCCACCAUUAAUCAUGAGUCGCGAACGGGUGAGUAACGCGUAGGUAACCUACCUCAUAGCGGGGGAUAACUAUUGGAAACGAUAGCUAAUACCGCAUAACAGUAUUUAUCGCAUGGUAAAUGCUUGAAAGGAGCAACUGCUUCACUAUGAGAUGGACCUGCGUUGUAUUAGCUAGUUGGUGGGGUAACGGCUCACCAAGGCAUCGAUACAUAGCCGACCUGAGAGGGUGAUCGGCCACACUGGGACUGAGACACGGCCCAGACUCCUACGGGAGGCAGCAGUAGGGAAUCUUCGGCAAUGGGGGGAACCCUGACCGAGCAACGCCGCGUGAGUGAAGAAGGUUUUCGGAUCGUAAAGCUCUGUUGUAAGAGAAGAACGUGUGUGAGAGUGGAAAGUUCACACAGUGACGGUAACUUACCAGAAAGGGACGGCUAACUACGUGCCAGCAGCCGCGGUAAUACGUAGGUCCCGAGCGUUGUCCGGAUUUAUUGGGCGUAAAGCGAGCGCAGGCGGUUUGAUAAGUCUGAAGUAAAAGGCUGUGGCUUAACCAUAGUAUGCUUUGGAAACUGUCAAACUUGAGUGCAGAAGGGGAGAGUGGAAUUCCAUGUGUAGCGGUGAAAUGCGUAGAUAUAUGGAGGAACACCGGUGGCGAAAGCGGCUCUCUGGUCUGUAACUGACGCUGAGGCUCGAAAGCGUGGGGAGCAAACA